GGCAUGGUGGUGUAGUGGUUAGCGCUGUUGCCUCACGCCACCAGGUUUGGGGGCGCGAAUCCCACCUCUGCCC